ACGGGUGAGUAACGCGUGGGAAUCUACCGUACCCUACGGAAUAGCUCUGGGAAACUGGAAGUAAUACCGUAUACGCCCUUCGGGGGAAAGAUUUAUCGGGGUAUGAUGAGCCCGCGUUGGAUUAGCUAGUUGGUGGGGUAAAGGCCUACCAAGGCGACGAUCCAUAGCUGGUCUGAGAGGAUGAUCAGCCACAUUGGGACUGAGACACGGCCCAAACUCCUACGGGAGGCAGCAGUGGGGAAUAUUGGACAAUGGGCGCAAGCCUGAUCCAGCCAUGCCGCGUGAGUGAUGAAGGUCUUAGGAUUGUAAGGCUCUUUCACCGGAGAAGAUAAUGACGGUAUCCGGAGAAGAAGCCCCGGCUAACUUCGUGCCAGCAGCCGCGGUAAUACGAAGGGGGCUAGCGUUGUUCGGAAUUACUGGGCGUAAAGCGCACGUAGGCGGGUAUUUAAGUCAGGGGUGAAAUCCCAGAGCUCAACUCUGGAACUGCCUUUGAUACUGGGUAUCUUGAGUAUGGAAGAGGUAAGUGGAAUUGCGAGUGUAGAGGUGAAAUUCGUAGA
rnacentral:rRNA from 1 species